rnacentral:rRNA from 1 species
AUGCAGUCGAGCGGUAGCACAGAGAGCUUGCUCUCGGGUGACGAGCGGCGGACGGGUGAGUAAUGUCUGGGAAACUGCCUGAUGGAGGGGGAUAACUACUGGAAACGGUAGCUAAUACCGCAUAAUGUCGCAAGACCAAAGUGGGGGACCUUCGGGCCUCAUGCCAUCAGAUGUGCCCAGAUGGGAUUAGCUAGUAGGUGGGGUAACGGCUCACCUAGGCGACGAUCCCUAGCUGGUCUGAGAGGAUGACCAGCCACACUGGAACUGAGACACGGUCCAGACUCCUACGGGAGGCAGCAGUGGGGAAUAUUGCACAAUGGGCGCAAGCCUGAUGCAGCCAUGCCGCGUGUGUGAAGAAGGCCUUCGGGUUGUAAAGCACUUUCAGCGGGGAGGAAGGCGAUAAGGUUAAUAACCUUGUCGAUUGACGUUACCCGCAGAAGAAGCACCGGCUAACUCCGUGCCAGCAGCCGCGGUAAUACGGAGGGUGCAAGCGUUAAUCGGAAUUACUGGGCGUAAAGCGCACGCAGGCGGUCUGUCAAGUCGGAUGUGAAAUCCCCGGGCUCAACCUGGGAACUGCAUUCGAAACUGGCAGGCUAGAGUCUUGUAGAGGGGGGUAGAAUUCCAGGUGUAGCGGUGAAAUGCGUAGAGAUCUGGAGGAAUACCGGUGGCGAAGGCGGCCCCCUGGACAAAGACUGACGCUCACGUGCGAAAGCGUGGGGGAGCAAACAGGAUUAGAUACCCUGGUAGUCCACGCCGUAAACGAUGUCGAUUUGGAGGUUGUGCCCUUGAGGCGUGCUUCCGGAGCUAACGCGUUAAAUCGACCGCCUGGGGAGUACGGCCGCAAGGUUAAAACUCAAUGAAUUGACCGGGGGCCCGCACAGCGGUGGAGCAUGUGUUUAUC